rnacentral:rRNA from 1 species
CUACGGGAUGCUGCAGUGAGGAAUAUUGCACAAUGGGGGGAACCCUGAUGCAGCAACGCCGCGUGGAGGAUGACGCAUUUCGGUGUGUAAACUCCUUUUAUAUGUCAAGAAAAUGACGGUAGCAUAUGAAUAAGCACCGGCUAACUCCGUGCCAGCAGCCGCGGUAAUACGGAGGGUGCAAGCGUUACUCGGAAUCACCGGGCGUAAAGGACGCGUAGGCGGGUUGGAAAGUCAGGUGUGAAAUCCUACAGCUUAACUGUAGAACUGCACUUGAAACUUCUAAUCUAGAGUAUGGGAGAGGGAGAUAGAAUUAGUGGUGUAGGGGUAAAAUCCGUAGAUAUCACUAGGAAUACCUAAAGCGAAGGCGAUCUCCUGGAACAUUACUGACGCUAAGGCGUGAAAGCGUGGGGAGCAAACAGGAUUAGAUACCCGCGUAGUC